UACGGGGGGGAGCAAGCGUUGUUCGGAUUUACUGGGCGUAAAGGGCGCGUAGGCGGUCAGCACAAGUCAGUUGUGAAAUCUCCGGGCUUAACUCGGAAAGGUCAACUGAUACUGUGCGACUAGAGUGCAGAAGGGGCAACUGGAAUUCUCGGUGUAGCGGUGAAAUGCGGUAGAUAUCGAGAGGAACACCUGCGGCGAAGGCGGGUUGCUGGGCUGACACUGACGCUGAUGCGCGAAAGCCAGGGGAGCGAACGGG
rnacentral:rRNA from 1 species